AUUAUAUUAAGUAAAAUCUGCUCCAUGUAUAAUAAAUAGCCGCAGUAAUUUCACUGUGCUAAGGUAGCAUAAUCAUUAGCCUUCUAAUUAAAGGCUAGAAUGAAUGAUUUUACAUUUAAAUUAAUUUUUUUUUUAAAAAUUUUAAUUUAAACUAAAUAUAAAAAUGUAUUUAUAAAUAAAAAAGACGAUAAGACCCUAAUGAACUUUACUAAAGUUUAGCUGGGGAAGCUAAUUAAAUACAAUUUUAAUUUUUACUAAAUUAUAAAGAACUAAUAUAAUUAAUUUUUAAGUUACCAUAGGGAUAACAGCGUAAUAUUUUUUAAAAGCUCUUAUUAAAAAAAAGGAUUACGACCUCGAUGUUGAAUUAAUUUUACUUUAAAACGCAAUUGUGCUAAAAGUAGGUCUGU
rnacentral:rRNA from 1 species